UGCUGAUCAGUAUGGUUCAGUCUAGUGAUCUGCCACAACUUGUUUUUCUGGGAGCAGCUGAUAGCCAGACCCAACCUGCAGAGGUGAUCCUUCAGCUUGACUUCCCGUAGGCCUCGAAGCAGGUUUUUGAGAGACCCGCUCCUGCUCCUUCUCCAAUAGAUCCCUACAUGACUGUUCCUGGAGAGGAGCUUGUUAAAAAGAUCUGUCAGGUGUCUGAGAAACAGUGCGUCACCCUCCUCUCUGAAAAUGAGAAACACUUUCUGUGGAACAGCAGAUUUUUUUGUCACAGCGGCAUUACCUACCUGCCCCUGGUGCUGGGCAGCGCGCCGGACUGGAGCCCCAACACCUUGCAGGACAUAUACAGGGUUCUGGAGAGCUAAACCUUCAAGAGCCCAUUGGAGGCACUGGCCCUUCUUACAUCAAGGUACAUUCUGUAGGAAUCCUCACCUCCACUUGCCAUAUAAAACAGAGUGGCAUAUAUCUUAUAAAGAAAAAGGAACCCAAAUACACGUUUUCCCACUAUUUCAUUUUUUACCUGGUUCAUAUCCUGCUAUGUGUGUUCUAUGUAAACAUCUGUUGCUUGAAUUUGCUUCUGAAAUCCAAGGCUGAUUGUGAGGAAGGGAGGAAGUGGGGAAGAUUAUUACUGUUGCACUGAAGCCCAUCAGUGAAACACUCUGUACUGGAGCCUGUGCAACACUGAUAUGCUUCCUAGUCUCACUUCCCCAUAAUUAAUCUUGAGGAGGCGAUAGUUAGUAAAGAUCCAGAAUCGAUAGAAGAGAAUCAGACAGCGCACAUGAUA